rfam:Dipodomys ordii contig_11378, whole genome shotgun sequence.
GGUGGCUCAGUGGUAGAGUGCUUGCUUUGCAUGCUGGAGGUCCUGGGUUCGAUUCCUCAGCACCA